ACCUCAGUAACGGCGAGUGAAGCGGUAACAGCUCAAAUUUGAAAUCUGGCUCCUCUGGAGUCCGAAUUGUAAUUUGUAGAAGAUGCUUUGGGUUGUGGGUUCGGCCUAAGUUCCUUGGAACAGGACGUCAUAGAGGGUGAGAAUCCCGUAUGUGGCCGAGGCCCGCGCCUAUGUAAAGCUCUUUCAACGAGUCGAGUUGUUUGGGAAUGCAGCUCAAAAUGGGUGGUAAAUUUCAUCUAAAGCUAAAUAUGGGCCAGAGACCGAUAGCGCACAAGUAGAGUGAUCGAAAGAUGAAAAGCACUUUGGAAAGAGAGUUAAACAGUACGUGAAAUUGUUGAAAGGGAAGCGCUUGCACCCAGACUUGGGCGCUGCUGAUCACCUUGAGGUCUCCUCGAGUGCACUCGACAGCGCACAGGCCAGCAUCGGUUCGGGUGGCUGGAUAAAGGCCGUAGGAACGUAGCUCUCUUCGGGGAGUGUUAUAGCCUACGGUGCCAUGCAGCCCAGCCGGACCGAGGACCGCGCCUUCGGGCUAGGAUGCUGGCGUAAUGGGUGUAAGCGACCCGUCUUGAAACACGGACCAAGGAGUCUAACAUCUAUGCGAGUGUUUGGGUGGUAAACCCAUACGCGGAAUGAAAGUGAACGUAGGUGAGAACCCCCUUUGGGGGCGCAUCAUCGACCGAUCCUGAUGUCUUCGGAUGGAUUUGAGUAAGAGCAUAGC
rnacentral:rRNA from 1 species